UACGAAGGGGGCUAGCGUUGCUCGGAAUUACUGGGCGUAAAGCGCACGUAGGCGGUCUUUUAAGUCGGGGGUGAAAUCCUGGAGCUCAACUCCAGAACUGCCUUCGAUACUGGAAGACUUGAGUCCGGGAGAGGUGAGUGGGAACUGCGAGUGUAGAGGUGAAAUUCGUAGAUAUUCGCAAGAACACCAGUGGCGAAGGCGGCUCACUGGCCCGGUACUGACGCUGAGGUGCGAAAGCGUGGGGAGCAACAGGG
rnacentral:rRNA from 1 species